UACGGGGGGGGCAAGCGUUGUUCGGAAUUACUGGGCGUAAAGCGCUCGUAGGCGGACAAGUAAGUCAGACGUGAAAUCCCUCAGCUUAACUGGGGAACUGCGUCUGAUACUGGAUGGCUUGAGUGCAGGAGAGGAACGCGGAAUUCCAGGUGUAGCGGUGAAAUGCGUAGAUAUCUGGAGGAACACCGGUGGCGAAGGCGGCGUUCUGGACUGUUACUGACGCUGAGGAACGAAAGCCAGGGGAGCAAACGGG
rnacentral:rRNA from 1 species